rnacentral:rRNA from 1 species
GCGGCGGCUAAUACAUGCAAGUCGAACGAUACCAGAGAGCUUGCUUUCUGGAAAAGUGGCGCACGGGUGCGUAACGCGUAUGCAACCUACCUUUAUCAGGGGGAUAGCCUCUCGAAAGAGAGAUUAACACCGCAUAAAAUCAAAGAACGGCAUCGUUCAAUGAUCAAAUAUUUAUAGGAUAAAGAUGGGCAUGCGUGACAUUAGCUAGUUGGUGAGGUAACGGCUCACCAAGGCGACGAUGUCUAGGGGAUCUGAGAGGAUGACCCCCCACACUGGUACUGAGACACGGACCAGACUCCUACGGGAGGCAGCAGUAAGGAAUAUUGGUCAAUGGAGGCAACUCUGAACCAGCCAUGCCGCGUGCAGGAAGACGGCCCUAUGGGUUGUAAACUGCUUUUAUUCGGGAAUAAACCCUUUUACGUGUAAGAGGUUGAAUGUACCGAAAGAAUAAGGAUCGGCUAACUCCGUGCCAGCAGCCGCGGUAAUACGGAGGAUCCAAGCGUUAUCCGGAUUUAUUGGGUUUAAAGGGUGCGUAGGCGGCUUAUUAAGUCAGGGGUGAAAGACGGUGGCUCAACCAUCGCAGUGCCCUUGAUACUGAUGAGCUUGAAUACACUUGAGGUAGGCGGAAUGUGACAAGUAGCGGUGAAAUGCAUAGAUAUG